ensembl:lncRNA
CUGAAAAUACUCUCUGGCAGCGGGACAGCAUGACAGGCAGCAGAAAUAAGUGAUUCUCUUGGGAGAAACUCUAAUGACUUCCACUACCAAAAAAAAAAAAAAAAAAGAAAGAAAGAAAAAAAGAAACAGAAACUGCCACUAGCAAGCAAGAAAAUAUUAGUCUAAUGUACUGGUUAAACCCCAGGCAAAAAGAAGAAAAAGCAGAGUAAAUCACUGGUUUGCAUUCCUGUGACCAGAAUCCAUAUCCUGCAAGUUUAGCAGGCAGCGGAGGCCUUGUGGUGGAAGAAGGGCUUUGAAUAAGGAACAAACGCUGCCCAUCUCCUAUGAAUUUUAUGAUUUUUUAGCUUUAAAAAAUGAACACAACAUGGGCACGUGGGCACGGGAACAACAGAACAAAGCGAACCAUGUCAAGCCCUCAUGUUAUGUUUUCUCUCUGCUUUUAAUUUUAUUCUGACAUACGGUGAUCAAACAAUGGUUUAUUUUCCAUAUUUUUUACAUGUAGAUGAUUAACAAUUUCUUUCUUUUAAAGAAAAAAAGCAUGGGGAAAGAACGUACGUUACUGUGACUCAACAGACUGCUCACUGCUGAAAAAGACUUGCCCACCUCCUUUAUAGCAAUGCAUGAGUUUUGUUUUCGGGGUUUAAAAAAAUCAAGAACAGAAAAACAGUAAAUAAAACCCAUUGAUAUAAAUCUUUAGACAUCUUUUUCCUGUGAAAUGUCAAACUUCAUCAUGUGUUUUUCUUACUGAAUAACAACCUGCAGUCCCAGACUGUUUUCCACGUUUCCAUGGGAGGAAGAAGUCAUUAACAAAAAAUCAACUUUAAGGUUAAGAGGAAGCGGCUCUAUCAGAAGCACGUUAGUCAUGUAUUUUUGUUACCAGUUAGAACAAUGUGCUGUUCCUGGAAUGCAUAUGCAGGCUCAUUUCAAAGCUUAGGCUGAUGUAUGAAGCAGACACAUGCCACAGACCACAGACAGGAGACAGUGCUUCUCCCAACAGCCCAACUACAGGUGACAUUGAGACAGACCUGCCAGCAGAGCCCCUGAGAACAGGGCAGGACAGGCAGCGCCACCGAAAUACAGAGCUUGGUAAAAGGUGCCCAGGAACAAACCAGAGAGAAGAUGGGAAAAGAGAGAAGGUAAAAUUGCCAAGAGAAAAAAAAUGUUUUCUUGUAGCUGCAGAGCCUUGGAAGAUGGGUCAAAUGGAGCAGUAAAUCACUGUAAGUGGUGAAAGACCUAUAAAUGUUGUGGGCUCUGGAAAGAAGAGUUUGUUGCAUUACAAGCAGCCACAGAUACUCACUGUGCCGAGCCACUCCACAACAAAAAGGCUUUUUGAAGUUAGUCCUAACUACCUGUAGCUAUGCUUACUUUUAACUGUAACAUGCAAUAAGGAAAAAAAGAAAAGAAAGGAAAAGAAAGGAAAAGAAGAGAAAAGAAGAGAAGAGAAGAGAAGAGAAGAGAAGAGAAGAGAAGAGAAGAGAAGAGAAGAGAAGAGAAGAGAAGAGAAGAGAAGAGAAAAGAAAAGAAAAGAAAAGAAAAGAAAAGAAAAGAAAAGAAAAGAAAAGAAAAGAAAAGAAAAGAAAAGAAAAGAAAAGAAAAGAAAAGAAAAGAAAAGAAAAGAAAAGAAGCCAGAGAAGCAGCUUUUUGCAUUGGAAUGAAAGCAAAGAUAAUUUUUAGCUUAGCAUGUUAUUUGCAGCCCAUACUCAAAAUCACAGCCACUGGGACCUUCCAAAAAAACUAUUGGGAGGGGAACAACAGAUUCUGGAAGCACAGUUAUUUCCUUUUUUAUGUGCUAGGUUCCCAGUAUUCUGGUGUUCGUGGUAAUUUACAAAAUGAGGAAGCACUGAAGUAGCUCUGCAAAGACAUAAAAGUCUACGUAUCAUAGUUUGAUUGUUAUCCAUUUCAUGACUGAUCACAAAUUCCCCACAAUUAUAACACAUCCUUCGUGGUAUCGGAUUAGAAAAAGGUACGGAUUCUACACCAAGAACCUGCAUUUUUAAAGAAGUUAAACCCACAGACUACUCCAAGGAAGAGAGCAUUUCAGCACAAUCCCUUCCAGCUUUUAUAACUACUAAAAGUUUAGAGGUUUUUUUGUUCAAGCAGAAAAACAGAAUGAUGGGCCAAAAUUCUGUCUCACACAAUAGUACCAUCUCUCUAACACUGGCCAAUAGCAGGUGUUAUUCUCCUGGUCUUAUGAAAAGGAAAGAACUUAAGCUGUGCACGGCAAUUUCCAGAGGAGGCAAUAACCACUCAGGGGUACAAUUCAGAAGUACUGCCUAGAUGAGUGCUUUCGUGCCACCUAAGUUCCAGCCAGAAGAGGUGCUUUGGAAUCCUUACAGCUUACCAGAUUUGUCUUAAUAAAGCUCAUUGUGAUUUGUCUUUAUGCUUUCUCUUCUCUAGCAUUGCUUGUUUAUCUUGGCACACAGAAUUUCAUACACAGUGGAUGAUGCAGAACACAGCAAGAUGAACUCAGAUGGCCACUGUCUUUACUGCGCUGACAAACCCUGGAGAGCUGUUAGCCUCAGUUCCGCACAGGCCUCCCAAAUGAAGUAGACAUCUGGCAUGUUUGUUACAGUGAAUAGACAGAAGCAGGAUGAUUAAUGGCUGCCAGAAUCAUAACUUAGCUCCCUCAGCUCAUCCAGGACAGGAGUUCUGCUCUGAAAUCAGAAUGAAGAGCCCAAGCAUCCCACUAUCACCUAAGUUCUGGAAAGGCAAAUCUAGCAGACCUCCAAGCUGCAAACAGUUGAGGUAGCUGAAAGAAGAGGCUAAGCAUGUCAAGCUUCCUACACAUCCAUUUAGGCAUGUGUUUUCAGACAGUCUUUCCUAGUGCCCAGCCUAAAAAAGGUCUCCAAAAAGGGGCAGCUAAGAAAAAGGAAAGCAGGGUUACAGGGAAGAACUAAAAAAUAAUGCACUGGAGUGUGAAGGCCACAUGGCCAAAUGGAGAAAAUGAGAAGUGGAGAGGGAAAAGAAAAUUCCGAGGACUGGGCCCAUGACUUCUUGAAAGGAAAUGAUCUGAUGAAGAAGCUAGAAUUUAUGGCCACAGCAAACAGGAGCUAAGAGCUCAUAGCUCUCAGAGGCAGGAGAAACCAGAUGCACAGCUGGAAGGAUGAGUGGUUUGACUCAGUUAGGCCAUUCUUGCUUGUGUCAGAGUCAAGAAGCCUAUUUGUACCACAAGACCGAUGAGCACCAAAGAGCUCCUGGACAGGAUACAGACAUGAGCUUUCCUCAAAAUCAGCAAGGAGAGAUGAGGUUUCUCUCUCUAAAUGUACCUGUAUUAGGAAAAGAUGAAUCACUUUGGUAGCACCUGUCUCUUGUUUGCAGAUUAGGCAACUAAUUCAGAGUGGAUGCUUAGUUUAUACACAGUUAAAAAUAGAAGAGAUUUCCUCUAUGAAAGUUGUUUUAAUAAGUGUGUAUAACUGGGGCAGAUAGCUACCAUGGCAGAGAUAAGCUGUCACAGAGGAUGUGAGUGCUCUUGUCUUCCAACUGAUUUAAAAGAACUUGUGAACUCCACAACAGCAAGAAUUGGGACUCAAGCAAGGGGACAAACACUACAGUCAAAGAAGUUCCUGCCUUACUUGCUAGCAACAGGCAGCUGGCCAUCGGGGAGAACAGUGCAGCACUACUUCACCAUUGUUAGAUGCCAGCAAAUGCCCCAGGUGCGGGACAGCUUCUGUUCAGGCUUGCACAUAACCAAACAUCAGGCAUGUGACACGAAGGCAAAGGGAAGCUGGAUCCUACCAGUUCUACAGCUCUCUGAAGCCAUGUUUAUGAGGACUGUGCCAUGAAGCAACUCGCUAUUCAGUGAGCAACCAUCACUCGGCUGGCAGCAUUCACUCGGCAUGCAAUCAUCAACAGGGCCUUGAUCUGUACCCUGUUUUUUGCUACUUGUAAGAUGGCUGCAGAGCUCCUGAAACAGAAUGGAUGCCAAUAUAAUGAACAAUUCUGAAAUAUUAACUGAAAUAUAAGAAAAAAGUAGCAAUUAGUCUUCUACGCUGCACAUGUAUUUGCAUGGCAAGCCUGCAAAGUGGCAUAAAUAUCUAAAUAUACACACCCAUGCAGGCUCACUCCUAUAUACAGGAACACGAUCGCACCAAAGAAGACUGUAGACACGUGGAACUAAACAUUUUUCCCUUACAGUUUAUACACAUUUAAUAAACACAUAGAUUUAAUGAUUAAAGCACUGGUUCAGGCCAAACAUCCAUUGGGCAAAUGGAAAGUAGCCACACAGCUUCUGACAGGGGCCACUAAUGGAUGCCUAUGGAGAAGUAGGAUAGGCCAGGCAUACACUGACACUUCUCAAGUGUGCUAUCACUCACUCUGCAGAUGUGCACCACUGUCACCACUGAGUUAAAGCUUUUCCAGCCAACAAGCAGAGGUCCUUUAUUUUGUUCAAGGAUAUCUAGAUCUGCAUUACACCUAUAGCUGCUGAACUACUUACUUGUGUUCAACACUGUUGCUAAAAGCCAUGCUUCCAGAACCAUAAAAAAG